rnacentral:rRNA from 1 species
CAGGUGCUGCAUGGCUGUCGUCAGCUCGUGUCGUGAGAUGUUGGGUUAAGUCCCGCAACGAGCGCAACCCUUGUCAUUAGUUGCUACGAAAGGGCAACUCUAAUGAGACUGCCGGUGACAAACCGGAGGAAGGUGGGGAUGACGUCAAGUCCUCAUGGCCCUUAUAGGUGGGGCUACACACGUCAUACAAUGGCUGGUACAAAGGGUUGCCAACCCGCGAGGGGGAGCCAAUCCCAUAAAGCCAGUCGUAGUCCGGAUCGCAGUCUGCAACUCGACUGCGUGAAGUCGGAAUCGCUAGUAAUCGUGGAUCAGCAUGUCACGGUGAAUACGUUCCCGGGUCUU